rnacentral:tRNA from 1 species
UUAAUUGAAGCCAAAGAAGAGGCUUUUCAUUGUUAAUGAAAGAAUUGAUCCAUAAUCCAAUUAAA